rnacentral:rRNA from 1 species
GGAUGCGAUCAUACCAGCACUAAAGCACCGGAUCCCAUCAGAACUCCGAAGUUAAGCUUGCUUAGGCGAGAGUAGUACUAGGAUGGGUGACCUCCUGGGAAGUCCUCGUGUUGCAUUCC